UGGGGAAUCUUGGACAAUGGGCGCAAGCCUGAUCCAGCCAUGCCGCGUGAAGGAUGAAGUAUUUCGGUAUGUAAACUUCGAAAGAAUAGGAAGAAUAAAUGACGGUACUAUUUAUAAGGUCCGGCUAACUACGUGCCAGCAGCCGCGGUAAUACGUAGGGACCAAGCGUUGUUCGGAUUUACUGGGCGUAAAGGGCGCGUAGGCGGCAAUUCAAGUCAUCUGUGAAAUCUCCGGGCUUAACUCGGAACGGUCAGAUGAUACUGCUUUGCUAGAGUGCAGAAGGGGCAAUCGGAAUUCUUGGUGUAGCGGUGAAAUGCGUAGAUAUCAAGAGGAACACCUGAGGUGAAGACGGGUUGCUGGGCUGACACUGACGCUGAGGCGCGAAAGCCAGGGGAGCAAACGGGAUUAGAUACCCCCGUAGUCCCUGAGCGGGCUGGCAAGGCGCAU
rnacentral:rRNA from 1 species